CUUGGAGAACUUGACAGACACAAAUAACUGGAGGCUUAGUGAGACAUUUCUGAAGCUACUAACAGGCUCCUUUCUUUGGAAAACCGUAAGUGCAGCUGAAAGAGAACUCUACAAAUUAUUUACAAAAUAAAAUAGUAAUUAAUACCUGCUGGUGGGAGCAGACUUAAUAAAUACUGUCUGUUCUGAAAAGUGACCUAAACUAAUUCCCUCCCAAAAAUCCAGUGAAAUACAGUAAAUAUGUGACUACUCCCAUGUUGCUGAGGACAAAGAUGUAGACUUUCAUAACAUGGGGACAUGACUAAGCCUGGAGCCUUGUUACCACAACUUCCCUCUCAGUCUGCAGGGACAGCUAGACUCUUCCAGAAAGUUUGUAAUUUCUUUAGGAGCCGAACUGCACACUUCUUGAAAGAGUAGCACUCCUCACCAUCUAUGACUUUUGAGUAUACUGUGGUCUGACCAAGCAUCCUGGAUUUGUGCUAAAAACAUCCACAGAGGGGUGGGAUUUCAGAAAUUUGUUCAGGUGCCUAGACUUCUGCUUAAAAUUUGGUUUCAGAUAAGGAAGUAAUUUUUAGUGAAAAACUGUCAGAAAGUACUGAUAUGAUUCAAAUGUAGUGUUCCCAUUCUGCCAAGAAGGCUUGAAGGCAAGGAAGAAAAUUUGAGUCUGUCCUGAAGUUGACAUUACUUCUCUAAUGUCCAGUUGGACAACAUUUUCUGUGAUUGUCUUCCUUGGAAUUAGCAUUUAUUUGCAAUUUAAUUUUUAUUUCACUUUUAGGUUUGCUUACACGGUCACUAUAGCUGCUAAUGGCAUUGGAUCAGAACACAGGCUUGUGAAUGGCAAUGAGCUGUUGGUUCUUCUCUGCAGACAGGUGUUCUGUGCCCAUCCCCCUGGUUUUUGCUAUUUCCAGGAGUGGGGAACUGUUUAUAAUUCCUGUUACACUGAGCUGAAUGUUCUACAAAGUACAAUUUCAUUAGUCUUUGUACUUUUAUUGUUGUUCUGAUUGAUCUACGAUAACAUCUAAUGUGAUUCAGCACAAGGAACAUUGCAUUUAUUCAAUGUAAAGAAGAAGAAACUUCACACAAGAAACUUUUCCUGUUUUCCACUCAUCUUUCAAUUCUCUCUGGGAAUUGUAUAUGUUCAAUAUCUGUGUGUUGUUAAUGAGAAAAUUUGUGUGCAUGCCUUUGUUCUAGUGUUACAAUAGUCUUUUUAUGAUGGAAUACAAUGUGAGUAAUUUUUGUUUAUAAACCACAUUGCUUUUCAAUAAAUUGGAAAUGCAGUUUACA
rnacentral:lncRNA from 1 species